CAUUAGACGUGGGCGGCAGCCCUGAGCAGCCAUGCCGCGUGUAGUGAAGAAGGCCUUCGGGUUGUAAAGCUCUUUUGUCCGGGAAGAAAGGGCGGCUCUUACACAGUCCGGUAAUGACGGUACCUGAAGAAUAAGCACCGGCUAACUACGUGCCCACAGCCGCGGUAAUACCUAGGGGGCAAGCGUUAAUCGGAAUUACUGGGCGUAAAGCGUGCGCCGGCGGUUAUACAAAACAGGCGUGAAAUCCCCGGGCUUAACCUGGGAAUGGCCCCUGUGACUGGGUAGCUUAAGUGUGUCAAAGGGGGGUAAAAUUUCACGUGUAACCGUGAAAUGCGUAAAUAUGUGGAGGAAUACCCAUGGGCAAGGCCCCCCCUGGGAUAACACUGACGCUCAUGCACCAAA
rnacentral:rRNA from 1 species